GUGCUCACUUCGGCAGCACAUAUACUAAAAUUGGAACAAUACAGCGAAGAUUAGCAUGGCCUCUGCACAAGGAUGACACGCAAAUACAUAUUAAAAAAAAAAUGUAU
ensembl:snRNA U6 U6 spliceosomal RNA